AGAAUCAACGCUGGCGGCGUGCCUAACACAUGCAAGUCGAGCGCGAAAGGGGAGCAAUCCCCAAGUAGAGCGGCGAACGGGUGAGUAACGCGUGGGUAAUCUACCUCUGAGUGGGGAACAACGAGACGGGAAACUGCUGCUAAUACCGCAUGACAUCGUCGAGCCUUCGGGCCUGACGAUCAAAGCCGGGGACCGCAAGGCCUGGCGCUUGGAGACGAGCCCGCGUCCGAUUAGCUAGUUGGCGGGGUAAUGGCCCACCAAGGCUCCGAUCGGUA
rnacentral:rRNA from 1 species